rnacentral:rRNA from 1 species
UACCCGCUGGAAUUUAAGCAUAUAAUUAAGCGGAGGAAAAGAAACUAACCAGGAUUCCCCUAGUAAGGGCGACUGAAGCGGGAAGAGCUCACAGUGUGAAUCUGCACUCUUGUAGUGCCGAAUUGUGGUCUGUAGAAGUUUGUGUUUGGCCGGCCGGGUUAAGUCCCUUGGAAAAGGGCAGCAGAGAGGGUGAGACUCCCGUUCUUGCCUGGGUUUGGCCAUUUGACACUUACUUUCAACGAGUCGAGUUGUUUGGGAUUGCAGCUCAAAGUGGGUGGUAAAUUCCAUCUAAAGCUAAAUAUGGGUGGGAGACCGAUAGCGUACAAGUACCGUGAGGGAAAGAUGCAAAGAACUUUGAAAAGAGAGUUAAAGAGUACCUGAAAUUGCUGAAAGGGAAGCGAAGGAAACCAGUGCUUGGCUUGGUCAUAUUUCUCGAAUCGCUUGCGGUUUGGGCGCUGUGUCGUUGCCUUUGUCAUUUUUGCUUGUUCUCGGCGGAAACGUGUGUUCGGGAGGUAGCGCUUGCGUGAUACCGUUCACAUUAUUGCUGGGUUUGAGUGAGGCUGACGAAAUGGUUUUCUUUACCCCGUCUUGAAACACGGGACCAAGGA